CGCACGGGUGAGUAACACGUAUCCAACCUGCCGUCUACUCUUGGACAGCCUUCUGAAAGGAAGAUUAAUACAAGAUGGCAUCAUGAGUUCACAUGUUCACAUGAUUAAAGGUAUUCCGGUAGACGAUGGGGAUGCGUUCCAUUAGAUAGUUGGCGGGGUAACGGCCCACCUAGUCUUCGAUGGAUAGGGGUUCUGAGAGGAAGGUCCCCCACAUUGGAACUGAGACACGGUCCAA
rnacentral:rRNA from 1 species